AUCAUUGCAGAGCCAGACGUGGGGCUCAAACCCAAGAACCAUGAGAUCGUGACUUGAGCCGAAAUCAGGACUCAGACGCUCAACCGACUGGGCCCCUCAGGUGUCCCGAUACUGUCUCUUAAAGGCAAGCGGAGCCUGAAACAGGAAUUUGGGUGCCUGUGAUUUGUUGAGGAAAUAAAUACUCUUCAAGAAAGAAUGGGACACAGGGAAAGGGAAAGAAGGAGGAAGGAACCCAGCAAGGAUACGGUGUUAGAUGAAGUCUGACCUUGAUCUGAUGCAUGGAGGCUGGAUAUAUAUGUGUGGGGGCGUGGGCACUGGGAACUCUGGAGGAUUAACUUCACAAAAGAUGCCGCUGAUACGGCAAAACGGGACUGGAGCUGUUUCUCCUUUGGGGCAAGGCUCUUUGAACUUUAGAAGUCAAACAUGGCCACCAUAGGGCACAGAAGAAGUGAGAGAAUGAAAAGUCGUGGUUCAUCUUAUUUGAAAUUCUCUGGGGUUCCUGGACCUGUACAUCCAUUUUCUUCUUCAGAUGAGGUGGUUCCUGUUUGCAUUCAUCCCAACAGUUUAUGGGAAUGCACAUCUCACUGAAGUCAUGAUGACAGAAGGAACCCCCCAGUGGUGUGGACUCAGUGUCAGCUCCUGAAGAGUGUCCACUCAGCCCUACCGACUUCAGACUUGCCCGUCCCAUAAUCGAGUAAGUCUACUCCUUGAUCUCUCCCCCUCUCCCUCAGUCUCUCCCUCUUUCCUUCCCUUCUUUCUUUCCACGCU